rnacentral:rRNA from 1 species
AACGGCCGUACCAUGCUGAAUAUACCGGUUCUCGUUAGAUCACCGAAGUUAAGCAUCAUUGGGCGCGGUCAGUACUUGGGUGGGUGACCACCUGGGAACACUA